rnacentral:RNase_P_RNA from 1 species
AUGCUGGAUGGUUGCUCUUCACAUAUAGUUGUGGGGAGAGGAAAGUCCGAGCUCCAUUGGGCACGGUGCUGGGUAACACCCAGGCGGAUUCGUAAAACGAAACCCGACAGAAAGUGGCACAGAAACAAUACCGCCAUCUUUGAAAGUUCAAAGAUGGUAAGGGUGAAAACGGAUGGUAAGAGCAUCCGGCUGUUGUGGUGACACAAUCAGUGGCUAAACCUCACUGGGAGCAAGGCCAAAUAGGGGGACACAAGGAGCCUGACCUGUCUCCGGGUAGGCCGCAUGACCCCAGGGGUAACCCUGCGAUCUGAGCACAGAUCGAAUCGCUAGGUUGGCGAUUAUUUGCAGAAACCUUGCGGUUGACGUGGGCAAGAUAGAUAACCAUCACCGAUCCAAAUAUUGGUUCGGCACAGAACUCGGCUUAUAGGCCUCCCG